rnacentral:lncRNA from 1 species
CACAGUGACAGGUGACCACAGUGACAUGAGACCACAGUGACAGGUGACUACAGUGACAGGUGACCACAAUGGCAGGUGACUGCAGUGACAGGUGACUGCAGUGACAGGUGACCGCAGUGACAGGUGAUGGCCUGUGACAGGUGACAGCACUGACAGGUGACGGCAGUGACAGGUGACCACAGUGGCAGGUGACCACAGUGACAGGUGGCCACAGUGACAGGUGACCACGGUGACAGGUGACAGCAGUUAUAGGUGACAGCAGUGACAGGUGACAGCAGUAACAGGUGAUGGCAGUGACAGGUGACAGCACUGACAGGUGACAGUAGUGAUAGGUGACCACAGUGACAAUGGACGGCAGUGACAGUGACAGGUGACAGCAGUGAUGGUGACAGCAGUGAUAGGAGACCACAGUGACAAGUGACAGCCGUGACAGGUGACACCCAUAAAGCAUGGACAGGAAGAAGGCAUGGGAGCAGGUGGGGAACUAGCCUUGUGCUGUGGGUGCCAGUACUCUGAUGUUCUAAUAUAAAAUUGUGCAUUCUAAAAAUGAAAAAAAAAACCUAGG